rnacentral:rRNA from 1 species
AUGUCGCUCCUACGGAGGCGGAGGCAGCAGCAGUCGCCGCCGCCGCCCUCGCCGGGCGACGACAGCAAUGGCUCCGACCACGACGACAAGGACAAGGACAAGGGGAAGAAGCCGGCGCAGGAGCAGCCGUCCUCCUCCGCCUCCGCGCCGCCGUCCAAGGAGGCCGGCCGGCGGGCCAGGGGCAAGUGGUCGUGCGUGGACAGCUGCUGCUGGCUCGUCGGCUGCGUCUGCUCCUCCUGGUGGCUGCUGCUCUUCCUCUACAACGCCAUGCCGGCCUCCUUCCCGCAGUACGUAACGGAGGCCAUCACGGGCCCGCUCCCGGACCCGCCCGGGGUCAAGCUGCAGAAGGAGGGGUUGCACGCCAAGCACCCCGUCAUCUUCGUGCCGGGGAUCGUCACGGGAGGCCUCGAGCUCUGGGAGGGCCAUCACUGCGCCGAGGGGCUCUUCCGGAAGCGCCUCUGGGGCGGCACAUUCGGCGACGUGUACAAGAGGCCUUUAUGCUGGAUUGAACAUAUGUCAUUGGACAACGAAACUGGAUUAGAUAAACCAGGAAUAAGAGUUAGGCCGGUCACAGGCCUUGUCGCAGCUGACUAUUUUGUCCCUGGCUAUUUUGUUUGGGCAGUCCUGAUUGCCAAUUUAGCUCGGAUUGGAUAUGAAGAAAAGAACAUGUACAUGGCUGCUUAUGAUUGGAGGUUAUCAUUCCAGAACACUGAGACCCGUGAUCAAACAUUGAGCAGAAUAAAGAGUAACAUUGAGCUCUUGGUAGCGACUAAUGGUGGAAAUAGGGCGGUGGUGAUCCCACAUUCCAUGGGAGUUCUCUAUUUUCUUCAUUUUAUGAAGUGGGUAGAAGCACCUUCUCCCAUGGGUGGUGGUGGUGGUCCUGAUUGGUGUGCAAAGCACAUCAAAGCUGUAGCAAACAUUGGUGGGCCUUUCUUAGGAGUUCCAAAGGCUGUUGCUGGGCUUUUCUCAUCUGAAGCCAAAGAUGUUGCUGUUGCUAGAGCUAUUGCACCAGAAAUGCUGGACUCAGAUUUUCUUGGACUUCAGACCUUGCGCCACUUGAUGCGAAUGACCCGCACAUGGGAUUCAACAAUGUCAAUGCUCCCUAAAGGUGGUGAGACUAUUUGGGGAGGUUUGGAUUGGUCUCCAGAAGAUGGUUUUGAGUGUAAAUCCAAGAAGCGGAAGACCAAUGAUUCAGAGGUUUCUAAGGAUGUUCAUGGGGAACCUGUCGAAGUUAAUCCAGAGCCUGUGAACUUUGGAAGAAUGGUAUCUUUUGGAAAAGAUGUAGCGGAAGCUCCGGCUUCAAAUAUUGAGCAGAUAGAAUUCCGUGAUGCUGUCAAAGGUAAUAAUCUUGCCCAUUCGAAUACAUCAUGCCGGGAUGUCUGGACAGAGUAUCAGGAAUUAGGGUGGGGUGGAAUAAAGGCAGUUUCAGACUACAAAGCUUUCACCGCAGGCUCUAUCAUAGAUCUUUUUAACUUUGUUGCUCCAAGGAUGAUGCAGCGUGGUAGUGUUCAUUUUUCAUAUGGAAUUGCUGAUAACUUGGAUGAUCCAAAAUAUGGCCACUACAAGUAUUGGUCAAACCCCUUGGAGACAAAACUACCAGAUGCGCCUGAAAUGGAAAUAUUUUCGAUGUAUGGAGUAGGCAUUCCUACCGAAAGAGCAUAUGUCUAUAAAUUAUCCCCACAGGCAGAGUGCUAUAUACCCUUUCAGAUAGAUGCCUCAGCUGAGGGUGGGGAUGAGAAUAGCUGCUUGAAAGGUGGUGUUUACAUGUCGAAUGGUGACGAGACUGUUCCAGUUCUUAGUUCAGGGUAUAUGUGUGCCAAAGCAUGGCGUGGAAAAACUCGCUUCAACCCUUCUGGCAGCAAGACUUACGUGAGAGAGUAUAGUCAUUCUCCACCCUCGAAUCUCCUCGAAGGCAGGGGCACACAGAGUGGUGCCCACGUUGAUAUUAUGGGGAACUUUGCUUUAAUGGAGGAUAUUAUCAGGAUUGCUGCUGGGGCAACCGGUGAGGAAAUUGGUGGUGAUCAGGUGUAUUCUGAUAUAUUCAAAUGGUCCGAGAAGAUAAAGCUGAAAUUGUAG